UUGGCGCUGAAGGCCUGUCAGUUGGCACAGUUUCCAAAAAAAUUUGAAGCAGAAGUGUUAAAAGGAAUUUCCAGGUUGGGAACUACGCUCACCACUGUCAGUCCUGUGCAUUUCUUUUCUGUUUACACCUAACUACCAUGCGCUCAACAGGCUCUGCUCCAUCCUGCUCUGGCGAGAGCGCCAGAGCGCAUCGAAGGAGGGCUGGCGCCAUGUCUAUUCGCAGCUCCCGCACCAAGCACUCGACCGCCCAGAAGGGGGCACACCGCAGACGGGUCUCCCUGGCGGGAUUUUUUAACCUCAUCUACAAGCGCCAGGACCUGGGGCUUGACUUCCUGCGGGAAAUGUCAGAGCCCUUAUGUACGUCCAGACCCGUCCUCUUGCCACUCAAUCUCAAGAAUAUCGCGCCAGGCCGCUGCAUUUCACUGACCCCUUUUGGCCACACGGACAAUCUGGGUUUCCAAUGUGAAACCUGCACCGACCCAAACCUCAACAAAUCAAUCCCCCCCAAGUUGGAAGAUCCCGCGUUUAGCAAGAACGAGCUCUGUUCGGUGACCCUAACAUUUUAUCAACAGGCAGAGCAGGUAAUACAGCACAAGCAAUUUUAUUUGUCUCUUUUAAAUUUGUCCAUGGACGCUGUCAGAAACAGCCUGACCCAGCCCGGGCUCCUGUACUGCUAUCUGGUCACAAAGGCCUUUAUGCUGGAGGGCUUCCCUAUAUUCUUUGAGGAAACAAAUGGAAUGUUGGGACUGUACUUGGUCUUCAGACGCGAUCUGCUUCACUUGCACGAGUCCUACCUUCGUCUUCUCAUCGAUAAUCUGGGCAAUUAUGACAUUUCAGUGGACAGUGUGGGGAGAUCUUACAUUAUCAAACUGUGCCCAGUUGGCAACGUGUCCAGAAUACCUACCAUACCGGCCGAUAAUGUCUGCUUAGCUGUUAACAAUCUGGAUUAUGGGGACGAUGUCAAAGCCUCUUGGAUUGAAUGCUUCAACAUUGUAUCUCGUCUUUCUCAGCAAUAAAUUUUUUUCUUUCUAA
rnacentral:tmRNA from 1 species